GGCUCAAUGGUCUAGUGGUAUGAUUGUCGCUUCGGGAUUUUACGCCUGGAUCCAUUGGAUCUAAUAUGUGACAGGCCCCGGGUUCGAAUCCCGGUUGAGCCC
rnacentral:tRNA from 1 species